rnacentral:sRNA from 1 species
ACUCAGUGCUGGAAGUAGGAGGAGAGUCAGGACUCCCAGGACAGAGAGUGCACAAACUCUGGAGGCUGAAGAGGGAUUCCAGCCCCUGCCACCCACAGACACGGGCUGACUGGGGUGUCUGCCCCCCUUGGGGGGGGGCAGCACAGGGCCUCAGGCCUGGGUGCCACCUGGCACCUAGAAGAUGCCUGUGCCCUGGUUCUUGCUGUCCUUGGCACUGGGCCGAAGCCCAGUGGUCCUUUCUCUGGAGAGGCUUGUGGGGUCUCAGGACGCUACCCACUGCUCUCCGGGCCUCUCCUGCCACCUCUGGGACAGUGACAUACUCUGCCUGCCUGGGGACAUCGUGCCUGCUCCGGGCCCCGUGCUGGCGCCUACGCACCUGCAGACAGAGCUGGUGCUGAGGUGCCAGAAGGAGACCGACUGUGACCUCUGUCUGCGUGUGGCUGUCCACUUGGCCGUGCAUGGGCACUGGGAAGAGCCUGAAGAUGAGGAAAAGUUUGGAGGAGCAGCUGACUCAGGGGUGGAGGAGCCUAGGAAUGGUGAGGAGAACCUGGCUGGCCCAACUGCCCCAUGCCAAGGCUCCUGGGCCUGACUGACCCCUGCCCUGUUGCCCACAGCCUCUCUCCAGGCCCAAGUCGUGCUCUCCUUCCAGGCCUACCCUACUGCCCGCUGCGUCCUGCUGGAGGUGCAAGUGCCUGCUGCCCUUGUGCAGUUUGGUCAGUCUGUGGGCUCUGUGGUAUAUGACUGCUUCGAGGCUGCCCUAGGGAGUGAGGUACGAAUCUGGUCCUAUACUCAGCCCAGGUACGAGAAGGAACUCAACCACACACAGCAGCUGCCUGCCCUGCCCUGGCUCAACGUGUCAGCAGAUGGUGACAACGUGCAUCUGGUUCUGAAUGUCUCUGAGGAGCAGCACUUCGGCCUCUCCCUGUAUUGGAAUCAGGUCCAGGGCCCCCCAAAACCCCGGUGGCACAAAAACCUGGUGAGGCCUCCCCCUUCCCAAGUCCAUUCCCACUGUAGGCUGAUGCCUGUGCAAAGGAUGCAGUGCCUUAUCAGAGAGGAUCCUUGAAGAGGACUCACCCCAAGCAAGGGAAAAUUGGUGGGGGAACUUUUGCCUUCCUGGUUUCCUUGACUUUGGCCUCCUCCUCUUCCUCCUUAUCUUCUCCAACCUUCUUCCUUUAUUUGUUCCACAGACUGGACCGCAGAUCAUUACCUUGAACCACACAGACCUGGUUCCCUGCCUCUGCAUUCAGGUGUGGCCUCUGGAACCUGACUCCGUUAGGACGAACAUCUGCCCCUUCAGGGAGGACCCCCGCGCACACCGGAACCUCUGGCAAGCCGCCCGGCUGCGACUGCUGACCCUGCAGAGCUGGCUGCUGGACGCACCGUGCUGGCUGCCCGCAGAAGCGGCACUGUGCUGGCGGGCUCCGGGUGGGGACCCCUGCCAGCCACUGGUCCCACCGCUUUCCUGGGAGAAUGUCACUGUGGACAAAGUUCUCGAGUUCCCAUUGCUGAAAGGCCACCCUAACCUCUGUGUUCAGGUGAACAGCUCGGAGAAGCUGCAGCUGCAGGAGUGCUUGUGGGCUGACUCCCUGGGGCCUCUCAAAGAUGAUGUGCUACUGUUGGAGACACGAGGCCCCCAGGACAACAGAUCCCUCUGUGCCUUGGAACCCAGUGGCUGUACUUCACUACCCAGCAAAGCCUCCACGCUAUGGGAUGAUGACUUGGGAGCACUAUGGGCCUGCCCCAUGGACAAAUACAUCCACAAGCGCUGGGCCCUCGUGUGGCUGGCCUGCCUACUCUUUGCCGCUGCGCUUUCCCUCAUCCUCCUUCUCAAAAAGGAUCACGCGAAAGGGUGGCUGAGGCUCUUGAAACAGGACGUCCGCUCGGGGGCGGCCGCCAGGGGCCGCGCGGCUCUGCUCCUCUACUCAGCCGAUGACUCGGGCUUCGAGCGCCUGGUGGGCGCCCUGGCGUCGGCCCUGUGCCAGCUGCCGCUGCGCGUGGCCGUAGACCUGUGGAGCCGUCGUGAACUGAGCGCGCAGGGGCCCGUGGCUUGGUUUCACGCGCAGCGGCGCCAGACCCUGCAGGAGGGCGGCGUGGUGGUCUUGCUCUUCUCGCCCGGUGCGGUGGCGCUGUGCAGCGAGUGGCUACAGGACGGGGUGUCCGGGCCCGGGGCGCACGGCCCGCACGACGCCUUCCGCGCCUCGCUCAGCUGCGUGCUGCCCGACUUCUUGCAGGGCCGGGCGCCCGGCAGCUACGUGGGGGCCUGCUUCGACAGGCUGCUCCACCCGGACGCCGUACCCGCCCUUUUCCGCACCGUGCCCGUCUUCACACUGCCCUCCCAACUGCCAGACUUCCUGGGGGCCCUGCAGCAGCCUCGCGCCCCGCGUUCCGGGCGGCUCCUAGAGAGAGCGGAGCAAGUGUCCCGGGCCCUUCAGCCAGCCCUGGAUAGCUACUUCCAUCCCCCGGGGACUCCCGCGCCGGGACGCGGGGUGGGACCUGGGGCGGGGGACGGGACUUAAAUAAAGGCAGACGCUGUUUUUCU